AGAACCUGAAACCGUGUGCUUACAAGUAGUCAGAGCCCGUUAAUGGGUGAUGGCGUGCCUUUUGUAGAAUGAACCGGCGAGUUACGAUUUGAUGCAAGGUUAAGCAGUAAAUGUGGAGCCGUAGCGAAAGCGAGUCUGAAUAGGGCGUUUAGUAUUUGGUCGUAGACCCGAAACCAGGUGAUCUACCCUUGGUCAGGUUGAAGUUCAGGUAACACUGAAUGGAGGACCGAACCGACUUACGUUGAAAAGUGAGCGGAUGAACUGAGGGUAGCGGAGAAAUUCCAAUCGAACCUGGAGAUAGCUGGUUCUCUCCGAAAUAGCUUUAGGGCUAGCCUCAAGUGAUGAUUAUUGGAGGUAGAGCACUGUUUGGACGAGGGGCCCCUCUCGGGUUACCGAAUUCAGACAAACUCCGAAUGCCAAUUAAUUUAACUUGGGAGUCAGAACAUGGGUGAUAAGGUCCGUGUUCGAAAGGGAAACAGCCCAGACCACCAGCUAAGGUCCCAAAAUAUAUGUUAAGUGGAAAAGGAUGUGGCGUUGCCCAGACAACUAGGAUGUUGGCUUAGAAGCAGCCAUCAUUUAAAGAGUGCGUAAUAGCUCACUAGUCGAGUGACACUGCGCCGAAAAUGUACCGGGGCUAAACAUAUUACCGAAGCUGUGGAUUGUCCUUUGGACAAUGGUAGGAGAGCGUUCUAAGGGCGUUGAAGCAUGAUCGCAAGGACAUGUGGAGCGCUUAGAAGUGAGAAUGCCGGUGUGAGUAGCGAAAGACGGGUGAGAAUCCCGUCCACCGAUUGACUAAGGUUUCCAGAGGAAGGCUCGUCCGCUCUGGGUUAGUCGGGUCCUAAGCUGAGGCCGACAGGCGUAGGCGAUGGAUAACAGGUUGAUAUUCCUGUACCACCUAUAAUCGUUUUAAUCGAUGGGGGGACGCAGUAGGAUAGGCGAAGCGUGCGAUUGGAUUGCACGUCUAAGCAGUAAGGCUGAGUAUUAGGCAAAUCCGGUACUCGUUAAGGCUGAGCUGUGAUGGGGAGAAGACAUUGUGUCUUCGAGUCGUUGAUUUCACACUGCCGAGAAAAGCCUCUAGAUAGAAAAUAGGUGCCCGUACCGCAAACCGACACAGGUAGUCAAGAUGAGAAUUCUAAGGUGAGCGAGCGAACUCUCGUUAAGGAACUCGGCAAAAUGACCCCGUAACUUCGGGAGAAGGGGUGCUCUUUAGGGUUAACGCCCAGAAGAGCCGCAGUGAAUAGGCCCAAGCGACUGUUUAUCAAAAACACAGGUCUCUGCUAAACCGUAAGGUGAUGUAUAGGGGCUGACGCCUGCCCGGUGCUGGAAGGUUAAGAGGAGUGGUUAGCUUCUGCGAAGCUACGAAUCGAAGCCCCAGUAAACGGCGGCCGUAACUAUAACGGUCCUAAGGUAGCGAAAUUCCUUGUCGGGUAAGUUCCGACCCGCACGAAAGGCGUAACGAUUUGGGCACUGUCUCAACGAGAGACUCGGUGAAAUCAUAGUACCUGUGAAGAUGCAGGUUACCCGCGACAGGACGGAAAGACCCCGUGGAGCUUUACUGUAGCCUGAUAUUGAAAUUCGGCACAGCUUGUACAGGAUAGGUAGGAGCCUUUGAAACGUGAGCGCUAGCUUACGUGGAGGC
rnacentral:rRNA from 1 species